GACGAACGCUGGCGGCGUGCUUAACACAUGCAAGUCGAGCGGUAAGGCCCUUUCGGGGGUACACGAGCGGCGAACGGGUGAGUAACACGUGGGUGACCUGCCUUUAGCUCUGGGAUAAGCCUGGGAAACUGGGUCUAAUACCGGAUACGACUCCGCGGUGCAUGCUGUGGGGUGGAAAGCCUUGUGCGGCUGGAGAUGGGCCCGCGGCCUAUCAGCUUGUUGGUGGGGUGAUGGCCACCAAGGCGACGACGGGUAGCCGGCCUGAGAGGGCGACCGGCCGACACUGGGACUGAGACACGGCCCAGACUCCUACGGGAGGCAGCAGUGGGGAAUCUUGCGCAAUGGGCGAAAGCCUGACGCAGCGACGCCGCGUGAGGGAUGACGGCCU
rnacentral:rRNA from 1 species